rnacentral:rRNA from 1 species
GACGAACGCUGGCGGCGUGCUUAACACAUGCAAGUCGAACGGGAUUUAGUAGACAGAAGCCUCGGCUAAAGAUUACUAAUGAGAGUGGCGAACGGGUGAGUAACGCGUGAGCAACCUGCCUAUGACAGUGGGAUAGCCUCGGGAAACCGGGAUUAAUACCGCAUAAAAUCGUAGAAACACAUGUUUUAACGGUCAAAGAUUUAUCGGUCAUAGAUGGGCUCGCGUCUGAUUAGCUAGUUGGUGAGAUAACAGCCCACCAAGGCGACGAUCAGUAGCCGGUCUGAGAGGAUGAACGGCCACAUUGGAACUGAGACACGGUCCAAACUCCUACGGGAAGCAGCAGUGGGGAAUAUUGCACAAUGGGGGAAACCCUGAUGCAGCGACGCCGCGUGAACGAAGAAGGUAUUCGUAUCGUAAAGUUCUGUCCUAUGGGAAGAUAAUGACAGUACCAUAGAAGAAAGCGCCGGCUAAAUACGUG